CUCGUGUCGUAAUCACGUGAGUU
rnacentral:snRNA from 1 species